GUGGGGAAUCUUCCGCAAUGGACGAAAGUCUGACGGAGCGACGCCGCGUGAGUGAAGAAGGCCUUCGGGUCGUAAAGCUCUGUCAUCAGGGACGAACGGCCGGUGGAGUGGAAAGCCACCGGAUUGACGGUACCUGAGAAGGAAGCCACGGCUAACUACGUGCCAGCAGCCGCGGUAAUACGUAGGUGGCAAGCGUUGUCCGGAAUUAUUGGGCGUAAAGCGCGCGCAGGUGGGAUCUUAAGUCCAUUUUGAAAGUUCGGAGCUCAACUCCGUGAUGGGAUGGAAACUGGGAUUCUUGAGUACCGGAGAGGAAAGCGGAAUUCCCCGUGUAGCGGUGAAAUGCGUAGAUAUGGGGAGGAACACCAGUGGCGAAGGCGGCUUUCUGGACGGUGUCUGACACUGAGGCGCGAAAGCUAGGGGAGCGAACGGGAUUAGAUACCCCAGUAGUCC
rnacentral:rRNA from 1 species